rnacentral:rRNA from 1 species
GAUGAACGCUGGCGGCGUGCCUAAUACAUGCAAGUCGAGCGAAUGGAUUAAGAGCUUGCUCUUAUGAAGUUAGCGGCGGACGGGUGAGUAACACGUGGGUAACCUGCCCAUAAGACUGGGAUAACUCCGGGAAACCGGGGCUAAUACCGGAUAAUAUUUUGAACUGCAUGGUUCAAAAUUGAAAGGCGGCUUCGGCUGUCACUUAUGGAUGGACCCGCGUCGCAUUAGCUAGUUGGUGAGGUAACGGCUCACCAAGGCAACGAUGCGUAGCCGACCUGAGAGGGGGGUCGGCCACACGGGGACUGAGACACGGCCCAGACUCCUACGGGAGGCAGCAGUAGGGAAUCUUCCGCAAUGGACGAAAGUCUGACGGAGCAACGCCGCGUGAGUGAUGAAGGCUUUCGGGUCGUAAAACUCUGUUGUUAGGGAAGAACAAGUGCUAGUUGAAUAAGCUGGCACCUUGACGGUACCUAACCAGAAAGCCACGGCUAACUACGUGCCAGCCGCCGCGGUAA